rnacentral:rRNA from 1 species
AGUGAACGCUGGCGGUAGGCCUAACACAUGCAAGUCGAACGGCAGCACAGUAAGAGCUCGCUCUUACGGGUGGCGAGUGGCGGACGGGUGAGGAAUACAUCGGAAUCUACUUUUUCGUGGGGGAUAACGUAGGGAAACUUACGCUAAUACCGCAUACGACCUACGGGUGAAAGCAGAGGAUCUUCGGACCUUGCGCGAUUGAAUGAGACGACGCCGGAUUAGCUAGUUGGCGGGGUAAAGGCCCACCAAGGCGACGAUCCGUAGCUGGUCUGAGAGGAUGAUCAGCCACACUGGAACUGAGACACGGUCCAGACUCCUACGGGAGGCAGCAGUGGGGAAUAUUGGACAAUGGGCGAAAGCCUGAUCCAGCCAUACCGCGUGGGUGAAGAAGGCCUUCGGGUUGUAAAGCCCUUUUGUUGGGAAAGAAAAGCAGCAGGUUAAUACCUCGCUGUUCUGACGGUACCCAAAGAAUAAGCACCGGCUAACUUCGUG